AGAACUGCUGGCCACGGCGGUUUCUGGUUGCCAUCACAGAGGCAAACAAAGCCGAGGCCAUGCGGGGUGGCCCCGCCCAGCGCCAGACUCUUGCCCCGGUUUUCCCACACCUCGCCCGUGGAUCCAGGUCACCACCCCGCGAUGUUUUCCUCCGCAGGAAUGGACUGCCCUCAUGCUGGCUCCCGUGAGAAGCCCGGGACAGAGUGAAAGAACACAGGCCUGGGGAUUCAAACUGGUUCUGCCAUUUCCUCGCUGUCUCAUCUCAGCCAGGUGACCUUGCCUCACCAAGCCUCAGUUUCUCCAUCUGCAAGUUGAG